rnacentral:rRNA from 1 species
UACAGAGGGUGCAAACGUUAAUCGGAUUUACUGGGCGUAAAGCGUGAGUAGGUGGCUCGCCAAGUCGAUUGUGAAAGCCCUGGGCUCAACCUGGGAAUUGCAGUCGAUACUGGUGAACUAGAGUUCGGUAGAGGGUGACGGAAUUCCCGGUGUAGCGGUGAAAUGCGUAGAUAUCAGGAAGAACACCCGUGGCUAAGGCGGUUCUCUAGUACGGUACUGACGCUGAGACGCGAAAGCGUGGGGAGCGAACAGG